AUGCAGUCGUACGGGGAGUAUCACUUUCANGUGCGCGCGAUGACAGGAGUAGCGCACGUGUGCGUAACACGUAGCUAACCUGCCCCGAAGACCGGGACAACCGCUGGAAACGGCGGCUAAGACGGGAUACGACCAUACGGGGGGGACCCUGUGGGGUGAAAGGGUCGCGGUAAGACGCGACACGCUUCGGGAGGGGGCUGCGGCCCAUCAGCUGGAUGGCGGGGUAACGGCUCACCAUGGCGAUGACGGGUAGGGGAUCUGAGAGGGUGGUCCUCCACACCGGGACUGAGACACGGCCCGGACUCCUGCGGGAGGCAGCAGUGAGGGAUAUUGCGCAAUGGACGGAAGUCUGACGCAGCGACGCCGCGUGGGUGAUGAAGGUUUUCGGAUCGUAAAGCCCUUUUCUGCGUGACGAAGAUGACGGUAGCGCAGGAAAAAGUGUCGGCUAACUACGUGCCAGCAGCCGCGGUAACACGUAGGACACGAACGUUAUCCGGAAUUACUGGGCGUAAAGGGCGCGCAGGCGGCUCUGCAAGACGGACAUGAAAGCCCGGGGCUCAACUCCGGGAGGCUGUCGGUGACUGCGGGGCUUGAGGGUGAGAGAGGGGUGUGGAAUUCCGCGUGUAGUGGUGAAAUGCGUAGAGAUGCGGAGGAACACCGGAGGCGAAGGCGGCACCCUGGCUCACAACUGACGCUGAGGCGCGAAAGCAUGGGUAGCGAACGGGAUUAGAAACCCCGGUAGUCCAUGCCGUAAACGAUGUGCACUCGAUGUCCGGGCUGCUACGGCAGUUUGGUGUCCCAGCGAACGCGGUAAGUGCACCGCCUGGGNGUACGUCGCAAGCUAAACUCAAAGGAAUUGACGGGGGCCCGCACAAGCAGCGGAGCGUGUG
rnacentral:rRNA from 1 species